AUUCGGAUGACGAGUCCCAAAUAGGACAAUAUGCGCAUCCUGAAU
rnacentral:hammerhead_ribozyme from 1 species